AGCAUAUCGGACUCCACCUAACCCUGCCCAACCAGCCAUAUCAACCAAAUGAAGAGAAUCAUUUUCUGAGACCAACUUCACAAACGUUUCUUUGUGUUCAACAGUUGCCAACAGAAUCUCCUGCAGAGGCAUGCAACAACAUUGUCGAUAUCCUCGCUCGUCGGAGGUUUGUCUGGGUAUUCUAUAGGACAAAUUCGGAUCGCAACACCGUGCUGUUCAAUUUCGCAUAAUUCUAUUUGCACAUUUUCAACAUCACGUGGCAGAGUUUGACCGAGCCAAGAAUUCAAUUUGUCAUAAUAAGGCGGUACGCGUUCCGUUGCUUGCGGAUCACGAUCUGCAGGUAUAAAUUGCAGUACUAGGGAACUGGCCACUAUUUCGUACAACUGAGGACUCCCAAUCGGAUUCGUCAAUAAUUCAUUUAUCGUGUACGAUCCGGUUUCUCCACCUGGUGUUUGACUCUAGAAUGAAUCCCUAAAGUAGUUAUUUCUCAGAGAAGAUAAUUUAAAUCAUACUUUCAUGUUAGAAUUCAUUGAAUGAAAUUAUAGGUACUGUAAUGCAAUUAACAAUAUGUGAGUUGUGACAAUUUUUUUCCAACAAAAUGAUAAAGGAUCAGUGUAUUACCAAUAACCUGAUGCAAUUGAAUUUCUUGAUUUUAUUGUAGAGUUCUUCAACUGCUAAAAAACACUGCUUAAAUCUAUUCUGAAUCCCAUCUCGACCCAGUGCUUGUAAGGCAGCCCAUAAUGGUAACGUCGGUAGACGUCGUGAUAACGAGUCUGACAUUAGACCUGACACCAACGAGAGUGUCGUAUCUCUGGGUGUUGGCCGACCGCCUUUGGUAUCAGUCAACCUGUACAAUGUCUAUUUAUAAGAUUAAGGGAUGAAAUGUAGUAGAAUUUCUUUUGUGCCCUGGUA